UUUACGUCGGCGUACAGUCUCUUUUAGUGUGAAGAAAUCGUUAAGUGAGCUGCUAUUUUUAACUGCCAAAACUAUUAAGGCCUAGAUGAAGUUGCAGUAAUUACCAGGAACACUAUUUUAAUUUCUGAAAUAUCAAAUAGCAGUAUCAUAAUGGAAACACUGGGAUGUGUCAGAGGGACAAUAUCAAGUCACAUUAAUUUCCAGAGGGAACAUUGGGUAGCUGUCUGAAUUCUAACAAAACUGACAUGACAAGAAUCACAAUUUAUCCUUUCACUGAGUGUUGUAGACAGGAAAAAUGUGAAGUUACCAUUAGUGAAACCAGCACUUUCUAGUGAAGAUACCAUGGAAGUUAUGGUGGAAAAUGUGUAAAAGAGGAUGACACCUAGUUUACACAAGUCCAGUGUCUUCUAAUAUUGGGAGCCUCGUUUCAAUGAAAAGGCAACAGGCUUAUGAUGCAGCUUGUCUGUAUUAUUCUCCAACUGGAGGAAUUCCUGUACACGUUUUCUAAUCCCAAUCAAAUACUGAAAUCUUGUGUUUGAUCUUGGUGAGAUUUGUUUUGCUGGUAUUUGAGCUCUGGGAAUAAUAGUGAAGCUAAUUACCAGUCCAUUUUAGAGGCUGUUGUAGAAGGAAGGGUUCAUUCCUGGGAAGAAUGUGGAUAACCAUUGUAGACAGAAUUCAGCGGGAAUUUUGAAUGAAGAAUUUAUUCAGGGAUAUCCCAAUUCAAGGGACAUGAAUCUUGUACCUGUGAGGAUGUGUCUAAAUGUGUAUGUACAAAUGACCUAAGAACUUGUAUGCAAUGGAUUUAUGCUUCAUCUGGAGUGAGAGAAAGCAAAGGAUGAACUUCCUGGAAGUGUUAUCUUCAAAGCUGCUAUUUACAUAUUGCCCUAAAGUGCUUCAUAACAAGUAUGGAAUCAUGAUGGACCUUUAUUGGAAGAUGAAGCAUUGAUCUACCAGAGUAAGGUGCAGAAGUAAGAUAGCACGAAACAUCCCGACUGCAUUUCACAACACUGGAAGAUAUGUUACGUCAGGGGAUGAGUGUCCAUCGAGACGUCAUAAAAAAAGAUCGUUGGACGUUUUUCAAUGGAUGUGUGGAUAUUCAGUGUUUUAUGUUCGUUGAUAAUAAAAUUUGUUUUAGACGCA
rnacentral:lncRNA from 1 species